rnacentral:rRNA from 1 species
UACGGAGGGUGCAAGCGUUACUCGGAAUGACUGGGCGUAAAGGGUGCGUAGGCGGUAGUACAAGUUAGAAGUGAAAUACCCAGGGCUUAACUCGGGUGCUGCUUCUAAAACUGUACGACUUGAGUGCAGUAGAGGUUAGUGGAAUUCCUAGUGUAGCGGUGAAAUGCGUAGAUAUCACGCAGAACUCCGAUUGCGAAGGCAGCAUACCGGCGCUCAACUGACGCUCAUGCACGAAAGCGUGGGUAUCGAACAGG